rnacentral:ncRNA from 1 species
UGAAGAGCGAUGAUGAAAAAGAGUAGGCUUUAAGAACGUUUCAGAGAGCGGAUGGUUGCUGAGAAUCCGUACGGGACUGGAGUUGAAUGGGUUUCUGAGCUUCUAGAUUGAACGACAGUAGGUCUAGCGGAUGUCUUACCGUUAAAAAAGACUAUGUAUCGAAACGUUUUUAUGGUUUCUGUACAAAAUAAGUGCGUUUAUGUAAUCGUAAACGAAUGAAGGUGGCACCACGGGUUACUCGUCCUUUUU